rnacentral:rRNA from 1 species
AGUGAACGCUGGCGGUAGGCCUAACACAUGCAAGUCGAACGGCAGCACAGUAAGAGCUUGCUCUUACGGGUGGCGAGUGGCGGACGGGUGAGGAAUACAUCGGAAUCUACUUUUUCGUGGGGGAUAACGUAGGGAAACUUACGCUAAUACCGCAUACGACCUACGGGUGAAAGCAGGGGAUCUUCGGACCUUGCGCGAUUGAAUGAGCCGAUGUCGGAUUAGCUAGUUGGCGGGGUAAAGGCCCACCAAGGCGACGAUCCGUAGCUGGUCUGAGAGGAUGAUCAGCCACACUGGAACUGAGACACGGUCCAGACUCCUACGGGAGGCAGCAGUGGGAAUAUUGGACAAUGGGCGCAAGCCUGAUCCAGCCAUACCGCGUGGGUGAAGAAGGCCUUCGGGUUGUAAAGCCCUUUUGUUGGGAAAGAAAAGCAGCAGGUUAAUACCCCGCUGUUCUGACGGUACCCAAAGAAUAAGCACCGGCUAACUUCGU